rnacentral:rRNA from 1 species
AUACGUAGGUGGCAAGCGUUGUCCGGAAUUAUUGGGCGUAAAGCGCGCGCAGGCGGUCCUUUAAGUCUGAUGUGAAAGCCCACGGCUCAACCGUGGAGGGUCAUUGGAAACUGGGGGACUUGAGUGCAGAAGAGGAAAGUGGAAUUCCAAGUGUAGCGGUGAAAUGCGUAGAGAUUUGGAGGAACACCAGUGGCGAAGGCGACUUUCUGGUCUGUAACUGACGCGGAGGCGCGAAAGCGGGGGGAGCAAACAGGAUUAGAUACCCUGGUAGUCCACGCCGUAAACGAUGAGUGCUAAGUGUUAGGGGGUUUCCGCCCCUUAGUGCUGCAGCUAACGCAUUAAGCACUCCGCCUGGGGAGUACGGUCGCAAGACUGAAACUCAAAUGAAUUGACGGGG